rnacentral:rRNA from 1 species
UACGUAGGGUGCAAGCGUUGUCCGGAAUUAUUGGGCGUAAAGAGCUCGUAGGCGGCUAGUCGCGUCGGCUGUGAAAACCUGGGGCUCAACCCCGGGCCUGCAGACGAUACGGGCAGGCUAGAGUUCGGUAGGGGAGAUCGGAAUUCCUGGUGUAGCGGUGAAAUGCGCAGAUAUCAGGAGGAACACCGGUGGCGAAGGCGGAUCUCUGGGCCGAUACUGACGCUGAGGCGCGAAAGCGUGGGGAGCAAACAGG